CUUUGAGCAGGCAUAGGCAAACUCGGCCCUCCAGAUGUUUUGAGACUAGGGAAGAUGGGAGUUGUAGUCCCAAAACAUCUGGAGGGCCAAGUUUGCCUAUGCCUGCCUUU